rnacentral:rRNA from 1 species
UACAGAGGGUGCAAGCGUUAAUCGGAGUUACUGGGCGUAAAGGGCGCGUAGGUGGUCUGUUAAGUAAGAUGUGAAAUCCCUGGGCUUAACCUAGGAACAGCAUUUUAAACUGGUAGACUAGAGUACAGUAGAGGGUGGCGGAAUUUCCGGUGUAGCGGUGAAAUGCGUAGAGAUCGGAAGGAACAUCAGUGGCGAAGGCGGCCACCUGGACUGAAACUGACACUGAGGCGCGAGAGCGUGGGGAGCAAACAGG